GCGGGCAAGUGCGGGACAGGUACGGCGGUGCGACGUAGGACCCAAGGCUUGUCCGGAUUUAUUGGGCGUAAUGAGCUCGGAGGGUGUUCAGUAAGUCGGGUGUGAAAACUGUGGUCUAGACCCAGAGAGUGCACUCGAGACUGCUGUGACUCGAGUACGGUAGGGGAGCGGGGAAGUCCUGGUGUAGCGGUGAAAUGCGCAGAUAUCAGGAGGAACACCAGUGGCGAAGGCGCCGCUCUGGGCCGUGACUGACGCUGAGGAGCGAAAGCGUGGGUAGCAAACAGGAUUAGAUACGUAGUC
rnacentral:rRNA from 1 species